rnacentral:rRNA from 1 species
CUACGUGCCAGCAGCCGCGGUAAUACGUAGGGUGCGAGCGUUAAUCGGAAUUACUGGGCGUAAAGCGAGCGCAGACGGUUACUUAAGCAGGAUGUGAAAUCCCCGGGCUCAACCUGGGAACUGCGUUCUGAACUGGGUGACUAGAGUGUGUCAGAGGGAGGUAGAAUUCCACGUGUAGCAGUGAAAUGCGUAGAGAUGUGGAGGAAUACCGAUGGCGAAGGCAGCCUCCUGGGAUAACACUGACGUUCAUGCUCGAAAGCGUGGGUAGCAAACAGGAUUAGAUACCCUGGUAGUCCACGCCCUAAACGAUGUCAAUUAGCUGUUGGGCAACUUGAUUGCUUAGUAGCGUAGCUAACGCGUGAAAUUGACCGCCUGGGGAGUACGGUCGCAAGAUUAAAACUCAAAGGAAUUGACGGGGGCCCGCACAAGCGGCGGAGCAUGCGGAUUAAUUCGAUGCAACGCGAAGAACCUUACCAAGGCUUGACAUGC